rnacentral:sRNA from 1 species
AGGGAGAGAGUGCUUGUCUCCUUCCUUUUUAUUUGGGAGCGCCAGAGGGCUAUUUAAUCUCCGAGGAUCAGAUGUGGAGCACAAUCCAGUAUUUUUCUCCUACGCAAUCAUAGGACUAGAGACGAUCAUGCUCUUCAUUGAUGGUGACCGCAUAGACGCCCCCAGUGUGAAGGAGCACCUGCUUCUUGACUUGGGUCUGGAGGCCGAAUACAGGAUCCAGGUGCAUCCCUACAAGUCCAUCCUGAGCGAGCUCAAGGCCCUGUGUGCUGACCUCUCCCCAAGGGAGAAGGUGUGGGUCAGUGACAAGGCCAGCUAUGCUGUGAGCGAGACCAUCCCCAAGGACCACCGCUGCUGUAUGCCUUACACCCCCAUCUGCAUCGCCAAAGCUGUGAAGAAUUC